GCAGGCUGCAACCCGCCUGCAUGAAGUUGGAAUCGCUAGUAAUCGCGGAUCAGCAUGCCGCGGUGAAUACGUUCCCGGGCCUUGUACACACCGCCCGUCACACCAUGAGAGUCGGGAACACCCGAAGUCCGUAGCCUGACCGCAAGGGGGGCGCGGCCGAAGGUGGGUUCGAUAAUUGGGGUGAAGUCGUAACAAGGUAUC
rnacentral:rRNA from 1 species